rnacentral:rRNA from 1 species
GAUGAACGCUGGCGGCGUGCCUAAUACAUGCAAGUCGAGCGAACAGAUGAGGAGCUUGCUCCUCUGACGUUAGCGGCGGACGGGUGAGUAACACGUGGAUAACCUACCUAUAAGACUGGGAUAACUUCGGGAAACCGGAGCUAAUACCGGAUAAUAUAUUGAACCGCAUGGUUCAAUAGUGAAAGACGGUUUUGCUGUCACUUAUAGAUGGAUCCGCGCCGCAUUAGCUAGUUGGUAAGGUAACGGCUUACCAAGGCAACGAUGCGUAGCCGACCUGAGAGGGGGAUCGGCCACACUGGAACUGAGACACGGUCCAGACUACUACGGGAGGCAGCAGUAGGGAAUCUUCCGCAAUGGGCGAAAGCCUGACGGAGCAACGCCGCGUGAGUGAUGAAGGUCUUCGGAUCGUAAAACUCUGUUAUUAGGGAAGAACAAAUGUGUAAGUAACUAUGCACGUCUUGACGGUACCUAAUCAGAGAGCCACGGCUAACUACGUG